UGUUCCUACGGGGGGCAGCAGUAGGGAAUUUUCGUCAAUGGGCGCAAGCCUGAACGAGCAAUGCCGCGUGAACGAGGAAGGUCUUCGGAUCGUAAAGUUCUGUUGAAGGGGAAAAAGAGCGGAGAGAGGAAAUGGUCUCCGAUUGAUAUUACCCUUCGAGGAAGUCACGGCUAACUACGUGCCAGCAGCCGCGGUAAUACGUAGGUGGCAAGCGUUAUCCGGAUUUAUUGGGUGUAAAGGGCGUGUAGGCGGGAAAGCAAGUCAGAUGUGAAAACUCAGGGCUCAACCCUG
rnacentral:rRNA from 1 species